AUCUGUAGUUGAAAUUGUCCUGGCUGUAUGUGGAGUUGGCUGUAGUGUGCCACCUUGGUUUGGUGAACUCCCAUCGCUGUGGAAAAGCCCCAGUGUUCCUCUGAGGUACGUAG
rnacentral:lncRNA from 1 species